rnacentral:rRNA from 1 species
AUUGAACGCUGGCGGCAUGCCUUACACAUGCAAGUCGAACGGCAGCACGGGAGCAAUCCUGGUGGCGAGUGGCGAACGGGUGAGUAAUAUAUCGGAAAGUGCCCAGUCGUGGGGGAUAACGCAGCGAAAGCUGUGCUAAUACCGCAUACGAUCUACGGAUGAAAGCGGAGCAUCGCAAGACCUCGCGCGAUUGGAGCGGACGAUAUCAGAUAAGCUAGUUGGUGGGGUAAAGGCCCACGAAGGCGACGAACUGGAGCUGGUCUGAGAGGACGACCAGCCACACUGGAACUGUGACACGGUCCAGACUCCUACGGGAGGCAGCAGUGGGGAAUUUUGGACAAUGGGCGCAAGCCUGAUCCAGCAAUGCCGCGUGCAGGAUGAAGGCCUUCGGGUUGUAAACUGCUUUUGUACGGAACGAAACGGCCCUUUCUAAUACAGGGGGCUAAUGACGGUACCGUAAGAAUAAGCACCGGCUAACUACGUGCCAGCAGCCGCCGUAA